GACGAACGCUGGCGGCGUGCCUAAUACAUGCAAGUAGAACGCACAGUUUAUACCGUAGCUUGCUACACCAUAGACUGUGAGUUGCGAACGGGUGAGUAACGCGUAGGUAGCCUGCCUGGUAGCGGGGGAUAACUAUUGGAAACGAUAGCUAAUACCGCAUAAUAUUAAUUAUUGCAUGAUAAUUAAUUGAAAGGUGCAAUUGCACCACUACCAGAUGGACCUGCGUUGUAUUAGCUAGUAGGUGAGGUAACGGCUCACCUAGGCGACGAUACAUAGCCGACCUGAGAGGGUGAUCGGCCACACUGGGACUGAGACACGGCCCAGACUCCUACGGGAGGCAGCAGUAGGGAAUCUUCGGCAAUGGACGAAAGGCUGACCGAGCAACGCCGCGUGAGUGAAGAAGGUUUUCGGAUCGUAAAGCUCUGUUGUAAGAGAAGAACGGGUGUGAGAGUGGAAAGUUCACACUGUGACGGUAUCUUACCAGAAAGGGACGGCUAACUACGUG
rnacentral:rRNA from 1 species